rnacentral:tRNA from 1 species
CGAGACGUAGCUCAGCUUGGUAGAGCGCUUGCUUCGGGAGCAAGAGGCCGCAGGUUCAAAUCCUGUCGUCUCGA